GUGUUCGUUGAAAGGAGAGACGGUUGGCAUCUCCCCUGACAGGGACGGGAACAGCUUUCGAGCUUACUUGUUACCACACAUCUGGUUAAGGCUACCCGCUUCGGCGGAUCUUACCAAAAUUUUUU